rnacentral:rRNA from 1 species
AUUGAACGCUGGCGGCAGGCCUAACACAUGCAAGUCGAACGAGUGGCGGACGGGUGAGUAAUGUCUGGGAAACUGCCCGCUGGAGGGGGGUACCUACUGGAAACGGUAGCUAAUCCCGCAUACCAUCGGAUGUGCCCAGAUGGGAUUAGCUAGUAGGUGGGGUAACGGCUCACCUAGGCGACGAUCCCUAGCUGGUCUGAGGGGAUGACCAGCCACACUGGAACGGAGACACGGCCCAGACUCCUACGGGAGGCAGCAGUGGGGAAUAUUGCACAAUGGGCGCAAGCCUGAUGCAGCCAUGCCGCGUGUAUGAAGAAGGCCUUCGGGUUGUAAAGUACUUUCAGCGAGGAGGCGUUACUCGCAGAAGAAGCACCGGCUAACUCCGUGCCAGCAGCCGCGGUAAUAC